rnacentral:rRNA from 1 species
ACUGCUCAGUAACACGUAGCUAAUCUACCCUUAAGUCAAGGAUAACCUCGGGAAACUGAGGAUAAUACUUGAUAGGAGACAUACCCUGGAAAGAUUUGUCUUUUAAAUUCGAGCUUAAGGAUGAGGCUGCGGCGGAUUAGGCUGUUGGCGGGGUAAAGGCCCACCAAACCGAUGAUCCGUAAGGGCUCUUAGCGGAGAGGCCCUGAGAGGGAAUCUGAGACACUAUUCCCAGCCCUACGGGGUGCAGCAGGUAGGAAUCUUUUGCAAUGCGCGCAAGCGUGACAAAGCGAGCCAGAGUGCUUUUCAAUUGAAAAGCUUUUGCUAAAUCUAAAAAUUUUGGCGAAUAAGGACUGGGUAAGACUAGUGCCAGCCGCCGCGGUAAUCCUAGCGGUCCAAGUCGCAGCCAUCAUUAUUGGGUCUAAAACAUCCGUAGCUUGCUUAAUAAGUUCCUUGUGAAAUCUUAUCUCUUAAGGGUGAGGCGUGCAAGGAGUACUGCUAAGCUAGAGACUGGAAGACGUAAGAAGUAUGCUCAAAGUAGCGGUAAAAUGUGUUAAUCUUGAGCAGACUCACAACAGCGAAGGCAUCUUACGAGGACAGUUCUGACAGUAAAGGAUGAAGGCUAGGGGCGCGAAGUGGAUUAGAUACCCAUGUAGUCCUAGCAGUAAACACUGCGCACUAAACAUUAGUACCUCCUCGAGAGGUAUUGGUGCUGUAGAGAAGUCGAAGAGUGCGCUACCUGGGAAGUAUAGCCGCAAGGCCGAAACUUAAAGGAAUUGGCGGGGGAGCAC